rnacentral:tRNA from 1 species
GCGGUCGUAGCCAAGUGGUAAGGCAGUGGGUUGUGAUCCCAUCAUGCGCGGGUUCGAUCCCCGUCGAUCGCC